UGGGGAAUUUUGGACAAUGGGCGAAAGCCUGAUCCAGCAAUGCCGCGUGUGUGAAGAAGGCCUUCGGGUUGUAAAGCACUUUUGUCCGGAAAGAAAUCCUUGGCUCUAAUACAGUCGGGGGAUGACGGUACCGGAAGAAUAAGCACCGGCUAACUACGUGCCAGCAGCCGCGGUAAUACGUAGGGUGCAAGCGUUAAUCGGAAUUACUGGGCGUAAAGCGUGCGCAGGCGGUUUGCUAAGACCGAUGUGAAAUCCCCGGGCUCAACCUGGGAACUGCAUUGGUGACUGGCAGGCUAGAGUAUGGCAGAGGGGGGUAGAAUUCCACGUGUAGCAGUGAAAUGCGUAGAGAUGUGGAGGAAUACCGAUGGCGAAGGCAGCCCCCUGGGCCAAUACUGACGCUCAUGCACGAAAGCGUGGGGAGCAAAACAGGAUUAGAUACCCUGGUAGUCCACGCCCUAAACGAUGUCAACUGGUUGUUGGGAAAUUCACUUUUCUCAGUAACGAAGCUAACGCGUGAAGUUGACCGCCUGGGGAGUACGGCCGCAAGGUUGAAACUCAAAUGAAUUGACGGGGUCAUAGCUGUUUCCU
rnacentral:rRNA from 1 species